rnacentral:lncRNA from 1 species
GCCAGGUGCUGGGUGCUGGACAGGGUGGAUGCCUGUGGUCAUUCUCAUUGACUUUAGCCGGUGGGCUACCCUCCCGGUGCAGGCCCUGCACAGCUUGCAGAGUGAUGACUUCUGAGCCAACCCCCCUCUGACUCAGCCUAUCAUGCUGGAGAAAGAUGGCUGUUGGGGCCCCUGUUUUCACAUCCUUGAGAGGAAGAGGCCUCUGCUCUGCUCUGUCAAGGUUGGGGCUCGGUGAGAUGUGAGUGGGCGAGACAGUGCUCUGGAGGACCAGGAGAAGCACACCGGAAAGCACGAGACAAGUUGCCCUAAGCAAUUCCGGAGGACAGAGGGGCCCACCGCUCAGUUUUCCUGGCAUUCCAGAGCAGAAUCAAGGAGCAC